rnacentral:rRNA from 1 species
ACGGAGGGUGCGAGCGUUAAUCGGAAUCACUGGGCGUAAAGCGCACGUAGGCGGUGUCGUAAGUCGGAUGUGAAAGCCCUCGGCUCAACCGGGGAACUGCAUUCGAUACUGCGAUGCUUGAGUGCCGGAGAGGGUGGCGGAAUUCCAGGUGUAGGAGUGAACUCCGCAGAUAUCUGGCGGAACACCAUUGGCGAAGGCUGCCACCUGGCCGGCAACUGACGCUGAGGUUCAAAGGCGUGAGGAUCAAACAG